UGCCAGCCGCCGCGGUAAUACGGAGGGUGCAAGCGUUAUUCGGAAUCACUGGGCGUAAAGGGUGCGUAGGCGGUUUGGAAAGUUGGGGGUGAAAUCCCAGGGCUCAACCCUGGAACUGCCUCCAAAACUAUCAGUCUAGAGUUCGAGAGAGGUGAGUGGAAUUCCGAGUGUAGAGGUGAAAUUCGUAGAUAUCUAGAGGAACGCCAAUAGUGAAGACAGGCAGCUGGACCGAUCCUGACGCUGAGGCACGAAAGCGUGGGUAGCGAACGGGAUUAGAUA
rnacentral:rRNA from 1 species